CGACGCUCUUCCGAUCUAUACGGUGGAUGCCUUGGCAGUCAGAGGCGAUGAAGGACGUGGCAGCCUGCGAAAAGUGUCGGGGAGCUGGCAACAAGCUUUGAUCCGGCAAUGUCCGAAUGGGGAAACCCACCUCGCAAGAGGUACCGUGCACUGAAUACAUAGGUGCACGGAGCGAACCCGGGGAACUGAAAUAUCUAAGUACCCGGAGGAAAAGAAAUCAACAGAGAUUCCGUAAGUAGCGACGAGCGAACGCGGAUCAGCCCAAAAGCGCACAGUGUUUUAAUCGAAGAGUCUGGAAAGGCUCGCCGUAGACGGUGAUAGCCCGGUAGGUGAAAGGGCACCGUGCGUGAAAUUGAGUAGGGCGGGGCACGAGAAACCCUGUCUGAACAUGGGGGGACCAUCCUCCAAGGCUAAAUACUCCUGACUGACCGAUAGCGAACUAGUACCGUGAGGGAAAGGCGAAAAGAACCCCGGAGAGGGGAGUGAAAUAGACCCUGAAACCGUAUACGUACAAGCAGUGGAAGCCCGCAAGGGUGACUGCGUACCUUUUGUAUAAUGGGUCAGCGACUUACUGUCAGUGGCGAGCUUAACCGUCUAGGGGAGGCGAAGGGAAACCGAGUCUGAAUAGGGCGCAUAGUCUCUGGCAGUAGACCCGAAACCGAGUGAUCUAUCCUUGGCCAGGUUGAAGGUGCGGUAACACGCACUGGAGGACCGAACCCACAUCUGUUGCAAUAGAUGGGGAUGAGCUGAGGAUAGGAGUGAAAGGCUAAACAAACUCGGAGAUAGCUGGUUCUCCUCGAAAGCUAUUUAGGUAGCGCCUCGUAUGUAUCUUCCUGGGGGUAGAGCACUGUUAUGGCUAGCGGGUCAUCGCGACUUAGCAAACCAUGGCAAACUCCGAAUACCAGGACAGACUGUACGGGAGACACACGGCGGGUGCUAACGUCCGUCGUGAAAAGGGAAACAACCCAGACCGUCAGCUAAGGUCCCAAAGUUAUGGUUAAGUGGGAAACGAUGUGGGAAGGCUUAGACAGCUAGGAGGUUGGCUUAGAAGCAGCCACCCUUUAAAGAAAGCGUAAUAGCUCACUAGUCGAGUCGGCCUGCGCGGAAGAUGUAACGGGGCUAAGCAAUAUACCGAAGCUGCGGACGCAAAGUUUACUUUGCGUGGUAGGGGAGCGUUGUGUAAGUGGCUGAAGGUGAACUGAGAGGUUUGCUGGACAUAUCACAAGUGCGAAUGCUGACAUGAGUAACGAUAAUGCGGGUGAAAAACCCGCACGCCGGAAGACCAAGGUUUCCUGUCCCAUGCUAAUCAGGGCAGGGUAAGUCGGCCCCUAAGGCGAGGCAGAAAUGCGUAGUCGAUGGGAAACGGAUUAAUAUUUCCGUACUUGGUAUAUCAGUGAUGGGGGGACGGAGAAGGUUAUGCAAGCAUAGCGUUGGUUGUCUAUGUGAAAGUGUGUAGGGUUGAAUCUUAGGUAAAUCCGGGAUUCUACAUGCCUGAGACACGAGACGAGACUCUACGGAGUUGAAGUUGCAAAUACCCUGCUUCCAGGAAAAGCCUCUAAACUUAUGAUAUAUCGAACCGUACCCCAAACCGACACAGGUGGUCAGGUAGAGAAUACUAAGGCGCUUGAGAGAACUCGGGUGAAGGAACUCGGCAAAAUCGUACCGUAACUUCGGGAGAAGGUACGCCGCUGUUUGUGAUGAGACUUGCUCUCUAAGCGAAUGGCGGCCGCAGUGAAAAGGUGGCUGGGACUGUUUAUUAAAAACACAGCACUGUGCUAAAUCGAAAGAUGACGUAUACGGUGUGACACCUGCCCGGUGCCGGAAGGUUAAUUGAUGGGGUUAGCGCAAGCGAAGCUCUUGAUCGAAGCCCCGGUAAACGGCGGCCGUAACAAUAACGGUCCUAAGGUAGCGAAAUUCCUUGUCGGGUAAGUUCCGACCCGCACGAA
rnacentral:rRNA from 1 species